UUUCGUAAAACAUUGCAUAAAACGUUCCCCUUCUGCUUAUUUUAUUUUUAAAUAUUUGGUUAUCCCCCCUUUAAAAUGAAAUCAUUGGGUGUUUUUCUACAACAGUACCCAUCACCUUGUAUUCUGUGAUUGUCUACAGGACCAGGCCGUGAAUCUGUUUAUUUAUUUAUUGCAGUAAUUGUAAAUAUAAAGGGUGUAUAGUUAUUAUAAUUAGUUAAUUGCGUUUUUGUCUCGCUGUAUAGAUUUAGAUCCCUAGGUGGCGUUCAAAUGUUUGAAAUGAUUUCUUUAGCAAUUGUUUUCAUAGUCGAGAGAGUUUGGAUUGUGGAAUCAAGACUUCUUCAGAUGCUCCUGACAGUCUGUAAGAUGGAUUUCUCUUUAAUUGGUGGCCACUCUGUGCAGCUGGGGAUGGUUCUACAUCAAUAGCCAUAAGAUCCAUGAAGUUAAUGAGCAACUCAAGAAUUUUAAGGAUGGAUGUGGACUGUAAUUAAUAUCAACAGUCUACUACAAUGGCUCAGGACCACAAUCUGUCUGUUUCAUUCUUAUACUCUACCUCUAGAUGGAGUUCUCUUCAAUUGGUGGCCACUCUGUGCAGCUGGGGAUGGUUCUACAUCAAUAGCCUAAAUUGAGUUAAUGAGCAAACUCAAGAACUUUGAGGAUGGAUGUGGACUGUUAUUAAUAUCAACAGUACUAAAAUGGCUCAGGACCACAGUUGAGUGCCACCAUCAUCUCCAAAUGUCAAAUUUUUUAACAAAUACAAAUAAAUACCACAUGUUCUCUUUUCUGAAGCUUCUUGAAACCUCAUGCCAAAGUGAAAGAAAUUUGAAAUGGAGAAAGACAAUAAUGGGGCCAACUGACUACCUUGCAAACUUGCUAAGUCCAUUCCUCUACACUGUACUCCUGGGAUUAAGAUCAAACACCCCUUAUAUACCCCUUCACACUUAACUAGAAAAGAGUUAAAGAUCCUUUAUCUCAUCAAAUAAACAAGAUUUAAUUAAGCAAAGUCCAGCUUCUACUCUUACUGUACAUCCAUGGCUAUAUAGGAUGAUUGUGCUAUAAAUAUAUUGUCGUAAUGUUAUUGUUUGUUUUCUAUUUUAAAGAAAAUUUUAAAACACCAAGUGUAUUUUAUAUCAUCAGUAAAAGAUUGUAAUAAAUGUUCAAUAAUGAGAAUUCAAAUGAACAUCAAGAUGUGCAGUAAAAUGGUAUAAAGCCAG